UACGUAGGGAGCAAGCGUUGUCCGGAAUCAUUGGGCGUAAAGCGCGCGUAGGCGGCCCCGUAAGUCCGCUGUGAAAGUCAAAGGCUCAACCUUUGAAAGCCGGUGGAUACUGUGGGGCUAGAGUCCGGAAGAGGCGAGUGGAAUUCCCGGUGUAGUGGUGGAAUGCGUAGAUAUCGGGAGGAACACCAGUGGCGAAGGCGGUUGCCUGGAGCUUUGCUGACGCUGAUGCGCGAAAGCGUGGGGAGCGAGUCCGG
rnacentral:rRNA from 1 species